rnacentral:rRNA from 1 species
AUUGAACGCUGGCGGCAUGCCUUACACAUGCAAGUCGAACGGCAGCACGGGUGCUUGCCCCUGGUGGCGAGUGGCGAACGGGUGAGUAAUACAUCGGAACAUGUCCUGUAGUGGGGGAUAGCCCGGCGAAAGCCGGAUUAAUACCGCAUACGAUCCACGGAUGAAAGCGGGGGCCCUUCGGGCCUCGCGCUAUGGGGUUGGCCGAUGGCUGAUUAGCUAGUUGGUGGGGUAAAGGCCUACCAAGGCGACGAUCAGUAGCUGGUCUGAGGGGCCGACCAGCCACACUGGGACUGAGACACGGCCCAGACUCCUACGGGAGGCAGCAGUGGGGAAUUUUGGACAAUGGGCGAAAGCCUGAUCCAGCAAUGCCGCGUGUGUGAAGAAGGCCUUCGGGUUGUAAAGCACUUUUGUCCGGAAAGAAAUCCUUGACUCUAAUACAGUCGGGGGAUGACGGUACCGGAAGAAUAAGCACCGGCUAACUACGUG